rnacentral:sRNA from 1 species
AAAUUUCCUAAAUAACUUCGUGAGAUUAUGAUGAUAAAGUGAAAUUUCUGUAAAAAUUUGCCCAGCAUGGUGUUCCAGAAUAGGGUGCAUUUAAAUCAUGUUUUUUUUUUUGGAAAAUCAUUACCAGUGAAGUAGAAGUUGAUUGGAGAGAAAAGAGAGUUGAUGUACCUUAAAGUAAAGCUCUGAUUUAUUAACAACACAUUUAUAAUUACUUAGUACCAGUUAACAUGGUUUUUUUUCAUUUAAUUUUUCACCCAGAAAGCAUUAUAAGAAACCCUCAUAUAUGUACAACCUAUAUCAUUUCUAGACUUUUACCUUCCCUCAUAUAAUAUGUAUUGUGGAAUCUGUCCAGAAAAAUGUUAACAAAUUUAUCUGUGUACAUUUAUUUGCUUAUAUAAAUAUACAUUUUCUGUGUAUUUUUUCUUCAUUUUGUUAGAAUUUGUUUGUAUUUGAUAGUUUGAUUUCUGUAUCCAGGCUAAUAUAAUGGCAUAAGAAACAAGCUUGAAAGUUGAAACUGGUUACUACUAAGACCUUUGUGUAAUUAAUUAAUUAAUUAAUGGUGACACCAGAUAUAUGUAUAUUUCAUUUGUAUUAUAAGGUUAACGACAUUAUUAUUUACCACCUACUGAUUAUAGAAAUAAAAUUCAAUAUGUCUCUGUUUUCAUUUUAUAAAAACUAAUUUAUUUUAAAUUAAAAAUUCAUGAUUAAUUGAUGAAGGAGUUGUGUCUCUAUACUGUACAACAUUUUUACUUUGAAGCGGUUUGUUUAUCAUUAUAAUCAUAGUAUUGAAUAAAGGUGUGAUCCGAUUCUUCCAUACAGUUGGUAUUAAAUCAAUGUACUGAUUAACUAUCAAAGUUUGUUUUGUGUAUUUGUAAACAGCCCCCCCCCCCCAUUACUACAGGUAUACAAAGAAGUCAAAAUAUGUUAUCACCAUAGCUGAUCAGUUAUCUUGAUAAGUUGGGAUGAUUUGUUGAAGAGUGCUAUUUAUCAUGAACUUGGUUAAUAAAACUUAUAAAAACUUUU